CCUACGGGGGGCAGCAGUGGGGAAUAUUGGACAAUGGGCCACAAGCCUGAUCCAGCAAUUCUGUGUGCACGAUGAAGGUCUUCGGAUUGUAAAGUGCUUUCAGUUGGGAAGAAGAAAGUGACGGUACCAACAGAAGAAGCGACGGCUAAAUACGUGCCAGCAGCCGCGGUAAUACGUAUGUCGCAAGCGUUAUCCGGAUUUAUUGGGCGUAAAGCGCGUCUAGGCGGAAAAAUAAGUCUGAUGUUAAAAUGCGGGGCUCAACUCCGUAUUGCGUUGGAAACUGUUUUUCUAGAGUACUGGAGAGGUGGGCGGAACUACAAGUGUAGAGGUGAAAUUCGUAGAUAUUUGUAGGAAUGCCGAUGGAGAAGUCAGCUCACUGGACAGAUACUGACGCUAAAGCGCGAAAGCGUGGGGAGCAAACAGGAUUAGAUACCCUGGUAGUC
rnacentral:rRNA from 1 species